UUAGAUAAGCUUCAUAUCCCUUUGAGAAUAUCUCUGGUGUGGCCAUCAGCUUAGGAUAGAGGUUGAAUUGGAAAUGGAGAUUAAUUCAGUCAGCCCAUCUCGGAGACGAAGUCUCCAUGUCCGGCCCUUAUAUAUAAAGGGGGUCCCAGUCUUGAUUGUGCACCUCACUCAACUGGCACUCUAUCCAAAGUUCAGGGCAUUUCUGGAGUUUGCAUAAGACCACUUACUUUGCUAGGAUUGCAUUUUGUGCUUCUCUUCCGAGCACUUGGAACAACAAACUGAUCGUGGCUUCUCAAAAGGUGCAAGUGAAGGCAGGGACUUUGACAGCUAGUGCAGGCAGGAACUUUGACAGCAAAAGCCAAAUCAUCGCUAGGAUUUGGUGGACAAGGUGAGUCCAAAGUUAUCAUAGAGAAGUGGGAAAGCUUCUACCUCACAGCUUGGUCUCAAGUCUCUGAUUUAUUUCCUCCUUGCUUGCAAGUUGCUAGAAGUACUUCCAAGAGAACAUCAAGGGUGAGCGUUCCUCUCCAGACACGAAUUUUGAAGAUUUGUGUGGUUUGUCCUGCUUGGUCAAUUCUUUGUUCGGCUUGUUUGCAAGGCCAUAUGUCUUUAUCACAGUUAACAAAAGGCAGAAAGCAGGAGACUUUUGUAGGGACUGUUGUUGACUUUCAGAACAGAUGACAUGACACUCUACCGAUUGGUCAUAUACUCGUUGAUACACAUGUAUUGUAUACGAGAUUGUGUUUGAGCCCAAAAUAAAUAUUUUUCCCGACAUGGGGGACUCGACGAAAUCUAGGCCAAUAUUCGGUGGCCCAAGCUAUUUAUUUCCGACAAGUUCGGAAUAUAUUGUUUAGAGGCCAAAUAAGGCCUACUUGGAGAUCAAGCAAUCGUGAGGCAAAUCGUGAUA